AUUUAAAUGAAUUCUGAUUGGUGACUUCUUUUUUUUUGUUGAGAAAAAUGAUGCUGUAACGCAGAAUUGUUAUACAUGAAACACAUAACUGCAAGAAUUUUGUGGACCUAUAAGUUUUUCCCUACAUAUAUGUUGAGUACGUUUUAUGGGUCUAUUAUUAGCAAUACCUUUUAUAUUAAUAUGCAGAUAUUUUUACAUUUUGUGGGAUACAAUCGCCGCAUAUAAUUAUAAAUUAAAUUUAUUCAAAUGGAAUUGAUGGACUUAGUGUGUUCAGAGAACUGUGAAUUAAUGCAUAUGUACAGUAACAGAAGUAAACAUUUGGGGUGCCUACCAUUUUAUUAUAUUCCAAAUAUAUUUUUAAUUCAGAAGUCUUUCGUUAGUGGCAGUCACAAAUGUGUCAAUGAGAAAUUUUUGGAAAUUUUAUGGAAACCGUCAGGUCAUUGCCUUAGGGUUACACACUCUCUCGUACUUUAUCAACAAUAUACAAUAUAAGGAGUGCAAAAGAGUAGUGCUGCACAUUCCGAUAGAUGGCUUCAUAUUUUUCUAUGAGAAAUAAUCGUCGCACUUUCAAUAUUUAAAUUUAAAGUUCAAAAUUUAUAACACGGCACCUAGCGACUUUAUGAGGAACCUGAUAUGCAAUAAAUAAAAUUUCAAUAGAAGUGUCAUAUAAAAUUCACAACAUUCUUGGCGUGCCCAGUUUCUCUAUAUCAGGAAGAAUCUUAAGUCGUUUAUUGUCUCACAAGCUUAUUUACGUUACAUUUCUUCGAAAUUCUCACCAACCACCUCUGUAUGAAAGACAUUGCAGUGAUCCGGCAAAAAGAAGGAGAACACAAUUUUCAAU